GCGCGAGAAAGAGAGACUGAUCACACCUAUGACGUCAUAAUGGACAGAACCGCGGCUGAAGCAGGACCCGGUCUGCAGAAACCAAAUGAGCCAAUAUACUAUCUGGCCCAGAAUCCACAAACUUCAGCAGGCGACGGUGUCCAGAACCAAAACAACAUAUACAGUUCAGUCCACAGUUUAGGAGACAAAGGUCUCCAGAACCCAAGUGAGCCCAUAUACUAUUUGGCCAAGAAUCCGGAAACUCCAGGAGGCAAUUGUACAGAAUAUUCAGCCCUCUUUCCAAAUGACAAACUCUAAGGAUUUUCUUGACUUCCAUAUUUGCUACUCUUUUGUGAUAUUUUCUUUUACAUGCACUUCACCAUAUGUGCUGGAUUUAUCUCCAUUGGCGUCAGGUGCGGUGGGUGUCAGGGUAUUUUAUGGAGGGUGUGUUUUAGUUCAUACAGUAUCUGAUCUCUGGGAACAAGCACAGAUCUCAAAGCACAACGUUGUAUAUAUAUUCAUAUGAAUACAG